GGUCAGAUAGCACAGCUGUUAGUGCGCGGAUACUUGAUGGGUUCAAGGGCAAUAUUUAAUCUGAUACCCUCGUUCGACUCGGGGUCUGGCCU